GGGUGCGAUGAAACUAGUACUAAUGCAUCGGAUUCCAUGGGAACUCCGAAGUUAAGCGUGCUUGGACGAUGUGUAGUAGUUUUACGCAUACCAACUAUGUGAGUAAUUUUGGAAUGCAUCUA
rnacentral:rRNA from 1 species